UGCAAUGAGCAACUUCAGUAGUUCAGCCAUGUAAACAAGAAGACACUAGAUCAAAAUGUAAAUAUCACUGAGAAACAUGAGGAACUCUAGAAAAGGCUUGAGGCAAGUGACGAAGGACUAUGAUGUUGAUCACGAAGAUGAUAAUUGUGACGAUGAUGGACGUCAUGAAGCAAAUCUGGAGGGAAAUAUGUUACUGUGAAAAUGAAGGUCAAGUUGUUGAAUUGCUGCAUUCAUUAGGGAAAAGUGGGAGGGGCUUGGUUAUUAUGUGCUUGAAAAGUGUAUUGUGCAGGACUGCUAAGAGAGUGUGUUUGGUGUGUAAGGAUUUUCUUAUCCAAAACAUGGAUAGCGCAACCCCAUACAUCGAGCCCUUUUCAGUUCGAAAAUUAAUUGUGUUGGUAAGUUUGUUUUUCA